UACGUAGGGUGCGAGCGUUAAUCGGAAUUACUGGGCGUAAAGCGUGCGCAGGCGGUUAUAUAAGACAGUUGUGAAAUCCCCGGGCUCAACCUGGGAACUGCAUCUGUGACUGUAUAGCUAGAGUACGGUAGAGGGGGAUGGAAUUCCGCGUGUAGCAGUGAAAUGCGUAGAUAUGCGGAGGAACACCGAUGGCGAAGGCAAUCCCCUGGACCUGUACUGACGCUCAUGCACGAAAGCGUGGGGGAGCAAACAGG
rnacentral:rRNA from 1 species